rnacentral:misc_RNA from 1 species
CGAUAAUAUUUAUAUUUGUUACAGCAUUAACGUUUUUUUUUUUUUGUUGAUGAAUUAUUAUAAACUAUACACUUCGUACCUGAGUGAAAAAUCCCAUGAUGAUUUAGACACUUGAAACUUGACAAAAUCAGGCUAUACUGCAAAGUCAGAAAAGAAUUGAUUACGAGGAUUUGUAGUAGCAGAACUACAUUUAUCUGAACUACAUACAACAGUAAAAUUCACUGAUAUGAAGUUUUGAAAAAAAGAAUUUCAAAGAUAAUUAUGUCCAGAUACGCGAUGCUAUAAAAUUAUAAGUAAGGCGAUUCCUAACAACUUUAAGACGGUGCGACGAAACGCCACAAUUGAGAAUCAUCAGGAGCCCGACGCAUGCCAGCCGUCCGGAAGUCAAGCCCGGAACACGGAGCACCCAUCCGUAACCGAUGCGCUG